rnacentral:misc_RNA from 1 species
AUUCGUAUAACAUAUGAGCUCGUUAUCCUAAAAUAAAUUCUAAUAUUGUGCUCUAUGCAAAUAUAAAUCUCGAAAUUGUACAUUAUGUACAAAAUUUUCAUAAAAUAUAAAAUACCAAAACUCAAAUUAUAUAUUUACAAAUCGUCACUUUCACCGUUUUCGAAAUUUAUUACACGACUGCAAUAAAUAUAAUAUUUUAACGAACGCAAAUAUUAUUGUAUACACAAAAAUAUAUUUCAUUAUAUCAUGACUUUUGUACGUAUAUUCACUCAGCAUGAAAAAUAAUAAAUUUUCAGCGAGCCGCCUACAUGACGGGACUCCUCGACUCUUUAUCGCCAGUCCGAACUCUUCCUGUUCAAUGGUGCCGUAUCUUACGCUUUGCAGUUACUUCUUGAAGUAAUCGUCUCUUAAAUGGUGAAUGACUACUUCGGAAUCGAGUAGAUUCCUCUUGAGACCGUCGAUGACUACUGGCUUCCGCGAAUGAGUUUCCUUUCAAUUGUUUCUCAUAGAA